UAGCGGCGGACGGGUGAGUAACACGUGGGUAACCUGCCUCAAAGUGGGGGAUAGCCUUCCGAAAGGAAGAUUAAUACCGCAUAACAUGAGAGAAUCGCAUGAUUUUCUUAUCAAAGAUUUAUUGCUUUGAGAUGGACCCGCGGCGCAUUAGCUAGUUGGUAAGGUAACGGCUUACCAAGGCAACGAUGCGUAGCCGACCUGAGAGGGUGAUCGGCCACAUUGGAACUGAGACACGGUCCAGACUCCUACGGGAGGCAGCAGUGGGGAAUAUUGCGCAAUGGGGGAAACCCUGACGCAGCAACGCCGCGUGGGUGAUGAAGGUCUUCGGAUUGUAAAGCCCUGUUUUCUGGGACGAUAAUGACGGUACCAGAGGAGGAAGCCACGGCUAACUACGUGCCAGCAGCCGCGGUAAUACGUAGGUGGCGAGCGUUGUCCGGAUUUACUGGGCGUAAAGGGUGCGUAGGCGGAUGUUUAAGUGGGAUGUGAAAUCCCCGGGCUUAACCUGGGGGCUGCAUUCCAAACUGGAUAUCUAGAGUGCAGGAGAGGAAAGCGGAAUUCCUAGUGUAGCGGUGAAAUGCGUAGAGAUUAGGAAGAACACCAGUGGCGAAGGCGGCUUUCUGGACUGUAACUGACGCUGAGGCACG
rnacentral:rRNA from 1 species